AGAGUUUGAUCAUGGCUCAGAUUGAACGCUGGCGGCAGGCUUAACACAUGCAAGUCGAGCGGGGAAUGGUAGCUUGCUACCUGACCUAGCGGCGGACGGGUGAGUAAUGCUUAGGAAUCUGCCUAUUAGUGGGGGACAACAUUCCGAAAGGAAUGCUAAUACCGCAUACGCCCUACGGGGGAAAGCAGGGGAUCUUCGGACCUUGCGCUAAUAGAUGAGCCUAAGUCAGAUUAGCUAGUUGGUGGGGUAAAGGCCUACCAAGGCGACGAUCUGUAGCGGGUCUGAGAGGAUGAUCCGCCACACUGGGACUGAGACACGGCCCAGACUCCUACGGGAGGCAGCAGUGGGGAAUAUUGGACAAUGGGCGCAAGCCUGAUCCAGCCAUGCCGCGUGUGUGAAGAAGGCCUUUUGGUUGUAAAGCACUUUAAGCGAGGAGGAGGCUACUUGGAUUAAUACUCUAGGAUAGUGGACGUUACUCGCAGAAUAAGCACCGGCUAACUCUGUGCCAGCAGCCGCGGUAAUACAGAGGGUGCGAGCGUUAAUCGGAUUUACUGGGCGUAAAGCGUGCGUAGGCGGCUUUUUAAGUCGGAUGUGAAAUCCCUGAGCUUAACUUAGGAAUUGCAUUCGAUACUGGGAAGCUAGAGUAUGGGAGAGGAUGGUAGAAUUCCAGGUGUAGCGGUGAAAUGCGUAGAGAUCUGGAGGAAUACCGAUGGCGAAGGCAGCCAUCUGGCCUAAUACUGACGCUGAGGUACGAAAGCAUGGGGAGCAAACAGGAUUAGAUACCCUGGUAGUCCAUGCCGUAAACGAUGUCUACUAGCCGUUGGGGCCUUUGAGGCUUUAGUGGCGCAGCUAACGCGAUAAGUAGACCGCCUGGGGAGUACGGUCGCAAGACUAAAACUCAGAUGAAUUGACGGGGGCCCGCACAAGCGGUGGAGCAUGUGGUUUAAUUCGAUGCAACGCGAAGAACCUUACCUGGUCUUGACAUAGUAAGAACUUUCCAGAGAUGCGGGAGUGCCUUCGGGAAUUAGAAUACAGGUGCUGCAUGGCUGUCGUCAGCUCGUGUCGUGAGAUGUUGGGUUAAGUCCCGCAACGAGCGCAACCCUUGUCCUUAGUUACCAGCGGUUUGGCCGGGAACUCUAAGGAUACUGCCAGUGACAAACUGGAGGAAGGCGGGGACGACGUCAAGUCAUCAUGGCCCUUACGACCAGGGCUACACACGUGCUACAAUGGUAGGUACAGAGGGCAGCUACACAGCGAUGUGAUGCGAAUCUCAAAAAGCCUAUCGUAGUCCAGAUUGGAGUCUGCAACUCGACUCCAUGAAGUAGGAAUCGCUAGUAAUCGCGGAUCAGAAUGCCGCGGUGAAUACGUUCCCGGGCCUUGUACACACCGCCCGUCACACCAUGGGAGUUUGUUGCACCAGAAGUAGGUAGUCUAACCUUAGGGGGGACG
rnacentral:rRNA from 2 species